rnacentral:rRNA from 1 species
GACGAACGCUGGCGGCGUGCUUAACACAUGCAAGUCGAACGGAAAGGCCCUGCUUUUGUGGGGUGCUCGAGUGGCGAACGGGUGAGUAACACGUGAGUAACCUGCCCUUGACUUUGGGAUAACUUCAGGAAACUGGGGCUAAUACCGGAUAGGAGCUCCUGCUGCAUGGUGGGGGUUGGAAAGUUUCGGCGGUUGGGGAUGGACUCGCGGCUUAUCAGCUUGUUGGUGGGGUAGUGGCUUACCAAGGCUUUGACGGGUAGCCGGCCUGAGAGGGGGACCGGCCACAUUGGGACUGAGAGACGGCCCAGACUCCUACGGGAGGCAGCAGUGGGGAAUAUUGCACAAUGGGCGGAAGCCUGAUGCAGCAACGCCGCGUGCGGGAUGACGGCCUUCGGGUUGUAAACCGCUGUCGCCUGUGACGAAGCGUGAGUGACGGUAAUGGGUAAAGAAGCACCGGCUAACUACGUG